UUGACGCUUUGUCUCAUUGUCUAUUCACUGUUGUCUCAUCUCUUUUUCUCUACUCUAUCGAGUUAGGGGUCUGCUGUCAUGACUCAUGAUACGAAAUUAAAAAUGUUGUUAAACGCAGUGUUCCCGUUUAAACCUUUCUUAUAGUUUAUAAUUUUUAGAUUUCUGUCUCUACAUCCGAAUUCCGAAUAUUUUAUGAACAUAAUAUAAGCUGUGUCAAUGAAGUAAACAAUUAUUUAGUACAAAAUUCAUAAACAUGGAUCGACUUCCUACUGUCAUUUUAACGGUGACUAAAAUCAUUGAAAAUAAUUAUCUUCAAAAAGAAAAUGCUUUAUUAAUUAUAAAGUUUAAAGAAGCAAUGGAUUUAUUUUUAUGGAAAAAAAGUUUUUGGUGUAAUUCACUUAAAACACCUGUCACAUGAGAUUUGAAGAAAGUACAAAUACUAGUAUGGCUUCUGGGAUAUUGAGAUACCUAGUAAAAUUCAUAGACCUUAUACUUAAUAUAAGGUCCAUGGUAAAAUUACACAUUUCUUUUAUGUUUACAAAUGUUUUGUGAGCAUAUAAAUAAGUAUACAGAGUGAUUAUACUCACGAGUGCCUACUGUUGAUAUAAGAAUCCCCUUUUAUACAACAAUAAGACCAGUACAAAUAUUUAUUUUAUUAUUGUGACAUUAUAAUGUAUUUAAUUUUUAUUAUUUCAGGAAACACAAAAAGCAGUUUAAGGUGUACCGAUCUUACUACAGUGAAGUAGGAGUUGAAUUAAACCAAUACAGUAUUGGCUAAUGUUUAUUAUUGAUUCUGUACAUUUUGUUUGUAUACAUAUUGUAAAAUAUGUAUAUCAAACAAAAUAAAUAUUGAUAUCAGUUUGACUAUUUAUCUCUUUGAUGUGAAUACUGUAUGUUUUUUUGUAGAUUAUUAUAGAGCUGAGUUUAGACAUGCAGUAAACCACUUAUAAUCACUAUGUUUGUGGUCAAAUGUGUAUAAUAUGUCAAAAUGUAUCUUAACAUUAGUUAAAAGAUAUUUUUUAAAUUAUGUUCUGUAUUAUAAUAGUUAGAAUAUGUGUAUGCAUACGUUGUUACUGACUUUCAAAAAAUAAUUUACUAUUUAAUGCUAGAAAAAAGCUUCAGUGUAAACCUAAAUAUUUAUUUUACUAAUGCCUUGAUUUUAUAUAAUUUUUUAAAAUAAUUUUCUAUUAUAUGAACAAAUAUAAAAUACAUUGUACGGCUUGAAAAUUGUUGAAAAUUGUUUUUCAAGCCUUAUUUAACGCGAAAUCAAUAGUUUGACUUAGGUUACGUUUUGUAAGAUAUACCAUAUGUUUAAAAAUUUAGUAUUAACACCUUUUGAUUCUUGUCAGUAAUAAUUUCACUAAUU